CCCCCCACAAAGGGAGGCUUCGCCCCCCUUCUCGAGCGUUUCGCCCAGUUCCCCAAUCUGACCAAACCCUAGAAGCCAUCGAUUCGAUCGGGAAUUCGGCAUGGCUAUGUCGGACCCCGCGGCCGCUGUGAUCCCCAAGCCCGACGGCGGCAGCGUCGGCGACGAUGAGUUGGUGGAUAUCCGGGAGGUGUGGGCGGACAACCUGGAGGAGGAGUUCGCGCUGAUCCGCGACAUCGUCGACGAGUUCCCGUUCGUCGCGAUGGACACGGAGUUCCCGGGCAUCGUCUGUCGCCCCGUCGGCGCCUUCCGCUCCCCCGCCGACUACAACUACGCCACCCUCAAGGCCAACGUCGACAUGCUCCACCUCAUCCAGCUCGGCCUCACCUUCUCCGGCCCGCGCGGCGAGCUGCCGGCACUCGGCGCCGGACGACGCCGCUGCGUCUGGCAGUUCAACUUCCGCGAGUUCGAUGACGCGCGGGACAUCUUUGCAACCGACUCCAUCGAGCUGCUCCGCCGCAGCGGCAUCGACUUCCGCCGCAACGCCGAGCGCGGCGUCGACGCCCGCAGCUUCGCUGAGCUGCUCAUGUCCUCCGGCGUCGUGCUUAACGACUCCGUCUACUGGGUGACCUUCCACGCCGGAUACGACUUUGGGUACCUGCUCAAGAUCCUCACUUGCAACAGCCUCCCAGACACGCAAGCCGGGUUCUUUAAGCUGAUGAAGAUAUAUUUCCCGACCGUGUACGACAUCAAGCACCUCAUGAAGUUCUGCAACAGCCUGCACGGUGGGCUGAACAAGCUCGCCGAGCUCCUCGAUGUGGAGCGCGUUGGGGAGUCCCACCAGGCCGGGUCUGAUAGCCUGGUCACGUCCUGCGCAUUCUGGAAGCUCAGGGAUUCAUUCUUUGCUGGCUCGACGGAGAAAUAUGCAGGCGUUCUGUACGGGCUCAAUGCUGAGAAUGGUGUUAGUGCACAUUGACGGAUGAUUCCAGUAGAUGGUUUCCAGGGGAGAAAAUUGGCUCUGCUUGAAUCAGCCUGCAUUCAGGCCAGAUUCCAGUAGUCGUCAAGGUAUGACUGGCAGUACUGUCUAAUGCGUUGUUCUUGAAACGGAUGUAAUUCUAGUGCUAUACUGGAAAGGCGGCAAAUUUUUUAAAUGUGCGACGCUAAUCUCCAGCGACCAGGUCAAACUAUCUGCAUCUCAGAACCAUCGGUCAGCAGUGGCGUCGCUCUACUCUUCACCAGCAUCUGACUCGGUGCACAAUUCACCUUGCUGGCGUCUGGACGCUCACUGCGUACUCUGGUUAUCGAUUCCCUUGGAUCUUGUAAUGGUUACACAUUUGAAUAAUGUAUAGUGUGGUCGCUAAAUUGGUAUCAUUUUUAAUUGAUAUUCACAACAGAUUCUUAAUACCUCUUUAAUUCACAUCUGACAGGUAAUCAGGAAUUUUGAUUGUCCCAUUCAAAAAAAAAAAAAGAUGGGCUCUGCAGAACACAGUUGCUCGCCCGAUCUCACCAGUAAUUAUCUGGGAUACAGCAAAAGGCAUGGAGAACUGAUUUCUGACCCUCCAAAGGAAGGCGUGAAAUAUGAGCUGACAAACAGACUUCAUGCAAAACAAUAUAUCAAAGUUGAUUUCCAAAGAACAACAUUGAAAAAUAAAAACAAAGGGUUAUGCCAAGAACAUGUAGCACUCCGAACUUCUCUGGCUCAUCUAUUUACAAAUGGCACUGGAGAUCUCCAAC